rnacentral:rRNA from 1 species
GACUGUACAAAGGUAGCAUAAUCACUUGUCCUUUAAUUAAGGUCUGGAAUGAAUGGUUGGAUGAGAAACAUACUUUUUUUAUUUUAUAUGGAAAAUUUAAUUUUUUAGUCAAAAAGCUAAAAUUUUCUUAUAGGACGAGAAGACCCUAUAGAACUUUAUUCUGUUAUUAUAGUUUUUAUUGGGAUAUAAAUAAAAUAUAUAAUUUUCUAGAAUUUUGUUGGGGUGACAAAAAAAAUUUUAUAACUUUUUUUAUUUUUUACAUAAAUAUAUGUUAUUUUUGAUCCUUUUUUUGGAAAAAAGAUCAAGUUACCUUAGGGAUAACAGCGUUAUUAUCUUGGAGAGUUCAUAUUGAUAAGAUAGUUUGCGACCUCGAUGUUGGAUUAAAAUAAGAUAUGGAGGUAGAAUGUUAUAUUCUAGGUCUGUUCGACCUUUAAAUUUUUACA